rnacentral:tRNA from 1 species
CAGGGAGACAACAAAAUGUUUAAUAUUAUUAUUUUGUCACCUUAGGUCGAUCGGUAUCUCACGUUUUUAAUUUAUUAAGAAUUUCAUUUCCUAAGUUUUUCUAGGUCACACCCAUUAUUUUUCCUGGGCCAUUAGCUCAGGUGGUUAGAGCGCACCCCUGAUAAGGGUGAGGUCCCUGGUUCAAGUCCAGGAUGGCCCAUAUCUCUAUGUUGGGGGUAUAGCUCAGUUGGUAGAGCGCCUGCUUUGCAAGCAGGAUGUCGGCGGUUCGAGUCCGCUUACCUCCACUGAUUACCACCUCUUGCAUAACCGGUAGAAAGGAAAUGUUUUGAGUUGUGAUCAAAUUCUGAAAGAAUCUAGCUUCCUAAUGAAAUCAUUAAGAUGCUGGACUCAUUGAAUUAAUUUCAUUGUUUUCAGAGAACCUUGACAACUGCAUAGAUUAUUUUAAAGACAAUAAGCAUCUUUAAUGAUGCAGAUUUAUUAUUUGUGCGAAUGCAUUAAUAACAAUUCUAUUAAGCUGAUGCUUCAAUUUUUGAAGUUAUU